rnacentral:rRNA from 1 species
AACAAGGUUUCCGUAGGUGAACCUGCGGAAGGAUCMUUA